CCUGAAUUCGUUAGGACACCUUUCCUACCAGCUCAAACACAGACCGAGGAUGUCGGUUCAUUCGAUAUGUCUACUGAAGCAAUAAGACGUAAACAUCAUGUGCUGCGUGGGGAAAGACAAGCUAUCUUAGCCCGUCGAAACCAGCAAUUUCAAGCAUCCAUUGCAAGAAACGUGACUACUUUGAAUGGGGAUACUAUCGGUGAUGCCAACAACAAUGCACAAUGUAGCGUUCCAUGCCAAGUCACUACAUUGCCAACAAAUGGAAGUGAAGGCAUAACCGAACAAGAAAGUGAGGUGGAGCAUACACAAGAGAAGCCAAGG
rnacentral:misc_RNA from 1 species